ACUAAUUCUGGAGGAUGAUCUUGUUCCUCUUGGUAUAAUGGCUUGGGGCCACACUCUUGAUGUGUGGUUAUAUCCUGAUUGGUGGCUUUAUUGGUGCCAUUCUAAUCCUGGAAAGGCUCAUAUUCAUUC